AUGUUUGGAGUGAACAAAGCCACAAUUAUUGUCCUUGUUAUGAUGUUGUGCAUUUUACUUCAAUCCAACAUCUCAAAUGCAGCUACAUUUCCUGCUGGUGAUGAUAAAGGUUGGGGUUUUAAUAUGAAUGGUUGGCCUAACGGCAAAAACUUUCAACACUGGUGAUGUUAUUGAAUUUAAAUAUAAAGUUGAUAUGCACAAUGUGGUAAAAGUGAGCAAGGGAGAAUAUGACUCUUGCAAAACUAGUGGAGGACAAGUUUACAAUUCAGGAGAUGACAAAAUACCACUUGAAAAGGGGACAUCAUAUUUUAUUUGUACUAUCGGACCACAUUGUUCUGAAGGUGUCAAGACUGCUAUUACUGCUAAUUAAUUUGUUUCAAAUUAUAUGUAUCGAAACGUAAUGGUUUUGUUUCACAUUUAUAAUUAUGACUUCGAGUAUCGAUGAUAUAAAAUAUUUUAUUUCAUG